CCUGGACGGCAGCCCGGGGCAUGCUGGGAGGCGGGACGAUUCGGACACUAUGGAGAUAAAAGUGAAUGGAACUGUCUAGGCCAGGUUCAUCUACAAGAACUGGGCCACCUUGGGUGUUGGAUUGAGCGGGGUGGAAAAGUUAGGAGUGCGAAUGUUAACAAGAGCCACGUGUUGGCCUCUUGGUCUCCAGAUCCUAGCAGUUUGCCUCAGAACAGGUGAGGCAGAUGCCAGCCUCCAUCCACACCUCAGGCUGGUGAGAUUAUGCCUCAACUCUAAGAAAAUCUGCGAGAAAGAAGCCAGCUUUCCACCAAGCAAGCAGAAGAGGCCAAGUAAUCCUUUUCUAGAUGCCGAGUGCCUCUCACCCAACAGAGCCUGACAGCUGCAGCCCUGGCUUAAGGAUCAGGAGGAGUCACAAGAAAAUCCUGAAAACCCAGUAACAACUGUCUUUAAUAUUGAUGGCUCUUCAGUGAGAAGUCUCUGAAAAUUACUCUUGGAUUCUUUGUGACAAAGAAGUAUCUCCCCUAAAUA